GAAAUCCUAAACAAUCAUUGACAAAACAAAAAAAAAAGAAUUAAAAAUAAAUUAGAUUAAAAAUAAUAAAAAAUAAAAGUUGGGGUCAUUAAGCGAACGAAUAUUAGGAAUUCGAAAAAAAAAAAGGAAACAGAAAAGAAAAAUCAAAAGAAACAGACUAAAGCAACGAAGAGAGAGAGAAAAGAAAACAGGGGAAGGCUGGCGGGGGUUUGCGGUGGUCCUAGGACUAGGCGGGGACCGGGCGUGGGUGGGUUUGAGGCUGUUGCUGGUGGGAAUUCAAGAGGACGGCAGUUCGUCGGAGAAGGAAAGGUUUGCGCGGGUCGGGACUGGAGCGGUACUGGGUAGAGAGCAAGAGGCCGGCGAUGUGGGAGAGUGCUGGGUUGCUACCCAGACCAGGAGGAUGUCGCAAAGAUAUCGUUGGGUGCCGGCUAGGAGAACCGGUGGUCGUGGUCGGUGCUUUGUGAUGAGAAGGGUUCGAAGGAACAGGCGAGUUGUACAGUGCAGAUGGGGAGGUAAGGAGGGGGGAAGUGGUGCGUGUAUGGGGGCCGACGAAGAACACGGUAGUCAGUGGCGAGUUGACGGUGUUGGUGCUCCGGUUUUCUGUGGUGGUCAGCGAUGGCGUGAACAGUGAAGUAAGGAUGCGUGAGGAAGGGAUUGGGAGAUGGUGCCGGAGAAACAAGAACGGCGUGGGCGAAUUCCUGUCGCUUUCUUCUUCGAUGACGCUGACGCAAUGACGCGACGACUCGAUGCCAUGAUGCCGUCUGACAUGAUGACGAAGUAAUUAUGACUUGAAGACACAGCGAAGGACGCGAGAUUGGAGCAGAGCAUUAAGUGGUAACGAUCCAGCUAAAUAAGGAAGGUGAGUAAUGAGUCAUAAAUUCAGCCGUUGAAGAGCACGAAUCAAGACGUUGGAGCGUAAGUGGAGAAGAUCUCCCAUGAUUGAAGCACCAAAGUUAAUGUAAUAAUUAGUGAAUUCAUUUUUGUAUUCAUUGAGAAAAAGCCAAGGAAAAAAGAAGGCAUAUAAAAGGGAGAGAGAGGUCAUUAACGAGUUUUUUACGCAACAUAGUUGGAAUAACACUAGAGAGAACUUAA